rnacentral:lncRNA from 1 species
CUGAUUUUCAUUUGCAUACAUUUUCAUAUAUUUUGGUGAAAAUAAUAGACUAGUGGAGAGCUGGGCUUCGAGGCGUCAGUGUGAAGGGAAGGCUAAGGACGCAUCGGUGCUGGAGAGUUGAGAAUAUGCCUUCCCCUCCACCCUCAACCCAGUCACCUUAUUUGAAAAAAAAUUAAAAAACACCUUUUAUUUAAAAACCUAACCCUGGAAGUUUGCUCGCUGCCCGAAAAUCAUAAGCGUGGUUUUUCCUGUUUCCUGCUCUGUAGCUGACAUCAGGGGAGCAAUGUGAACACAGGAAAAUGGAAAUCAACAUUUGAAACUUUUAAAUGGAAGCUUUAUUGGGUUUCCACAUAUGGAAAACUGCAAAUAGCAGAAGUAUGUGACUCAAUAAAUUAUUCUGGAGUGACCACAUCCUCUAACUGCCUCCCAGGACAAGAAGGAGAAUGUGAACAAUGCUCCUGAAGGCCCCUUUCCCUCAAAGAAUCACUGCAAUUGAAGGAAAAAUGCUCCAUGUCCCCUCUGCCAGUUGGUGUUUAUCAAAGGACAACGGAGGAAGAGAGACAAAGUGCCUGGAUGUGUGUGUUAAUCAAGAGUUGUCAGGACCCUGCCUCUAAAAGAAAGCGCUAAAAUGAUGCUUUUGACAAGACUUUUCUCAAAGUGGAUGCAGUCUAAGGGUUGGAAAACAAGGCCCAAUCAGGCUAGGUCUGACUUGUCGCCUGCUUUUGUAAAUAAAGUUUUAUUGGCUCACAGACACACUUAUUUGUUUCUGUAUUAUCUAUGGCUGCUUUCGCGCCACAACAUGGAGCAGUUGUGGAAGAGACCAUAUGGCCGACAAAGCCUAAGAUAUUUACUCUCUGGCUCUUGACGGGAAAAGUUUGCCAAUUCCUG